rnacentral:lncRNA from 1 species
GCAAUCCAUCUGCUGACUCAACUUGCUAGUAUCGGGCAGCAGCCAGGACCACAGCUCCUCCAGCUCCUUUGUGACCUUUUCCUUCAGCUUCUUCAAAUACUGGGUUAGACACCUGCCUGGAAUAUAGUGAGUGUUAGGAUAAAGUAAACAUAGACCAGAGGAAGAAGUCAAAUACGCAUUUGCCUCAGAAGAGGCAAUGAAUCCCUUUGUGGAGGGAAAGGUUCAAUAUAGUUAAGAGCAUGAGAUGGGCUUCACAAUGGAAGAUCAGGCUUCCGGUCCAUUCCUCGCCUCUUAUAACCUGCACAACUUUAGCCAAGUUUCUUAGUCUUAUACCUUUUCUGUCAAAUGGCAGCAAUGGUAUCUGCCUUAUGAAUUUGUUGUAUUAAAUUUGUUGAUAAUACCUGGAGAGAGCUUAGCACAUUAUCUAGAUCAUAAUAAGUACUCAAGGGUAUUAGCUAUUUUUAUUAUUCUGCUAAUGUAGUGGUGAUGUGGUAAAUAGUAAAAUAUUCAGGAAUUUUAAAAAGCUUUAAAAGUAUCUUAAAAAAUUAGUUCUUAAUGGCUUUAUAUAUGUUCAUAAUUAGGUGAAUUAACUUUUAUAUCCUUUGCCAAAAUAAUACUUUUGGAAUAUAGGUAUUCAACUAUCCAGCAUUAAUUUACUUACAAGAUGUUUCAAGCUUCAUUUACUAUUAAAUCAUUAUUUAAUACAACAUAAAUAACCAAUCAAUUAGCUAAGCUUUUUAUUCAGUUAUAGGACAUAUGCUAUAAAAAGGUGUCUAUUA